rnacentral:rRNA from 1 species
UUUAUACAACGAAGAGUUUGAUCCUGGCUCAGGAUGAACGCUAGCGACAGGCCUAACACAUGCAAGUCGAGGGGUAGAGAGAGCUUGCUUUCUUGAGACCGGCGCACGGGUGAGUAACGCGUAUGCAACCUACCUUAUACUGGGGGAUAGCCCAAAGAAAUUUGGAUUAAUACCGCAUAAUAUAUUUGAAUCGCAUGGUUUAAAUAUUAAAACUCCGGUGGUAUAAGAUGGGCAUGCGUAGCAUUAGUUUGUUGGUGAGGUAACGGCUCACCAAGACUAUGAUGCUUAGGGGGUCUGAGAGGAUAGUCCCCCACACUGGUACUGAGACACGGACCAGACUCCUACGGGAGGCAGCAGUGAGGAAUAUUGGUCAAUGG